rnacentral:rRNA from 1 species
UACGUAGGUGGCAAGCGUUGUCCGGAUUUAUUGGGUUUAAAGGGUGCGUAGGUGGUCUAUUAAGUCAGUGCUGAAAUAUCCCGGCUUAACCGGGAGGGUGGCAUUGAUACUGAUGGACUUGAGUAAAGUUGAGGUGGGCGGAAUUGACGGUGUAGCGGUGAAAUGCUUAGAUAUCGUCAAGAACACCUAUUGCGAAGGCAGCUCACUAAGCUUUAACUGACGCUGAGGCACGAAAGCGUGGGGAUCAAACAGG